AGUGAACGCUGGCGGUAGGCCUAACACAUGCAAGUCGAACGGCAGCACAGUAAGAGCUUGCUCUUACGGGUGGCGAGUGGCGGACGGGUGAGGAAUACAUCGGAAUCUACUUUUUCGUGGGGGAUAACGUAGGUAAACUUACGCUAAUACCGUAUACGACCUACGGGUGAAAGCAGGGGAUCUUCGGACCUUGCGCGAUUGAAUGAGCCGAUGUCGGAUUAGCUAGUUGGCGGGGUAAAGGCCCACCAAGGCGACGAUCCGUAGCUGGUCUGAGAGGAUGAUCAGCCACACUGGAACUGAGACACGGUCCAGACUCCUACGGGAGGCAGCAGUGGGGAAUAUUGGACAAUGGGCGCAAGCCUGAUCCAGCCAUACCGCGUGGGUGAAGAAGGCCUUCGGGUUGUAAAGCCCUUUUGUUGGGAAAGAAAAGCAGCAGGUUAAUACCCCGCUGUUCUGACGGUACCCAAAGAAUAAGCACCGGCUAACUUCGUG
rnacentral:rRNA from 1 species